rnacentral:rRNA from 1 species
UACGAAGGGUGCAAACGUUGCUCGGAAUUAUUGGGCGUAAAGCGCGCGUAGGCGGCUUGGCAAGUCGGAUGUGAAAUCCCUCGGCUCAACCAAGGAAGUGCAUCCGAAACUGCUGAGCUUGAGUACUUAAGAGGAUCGCGGAAUUCCCGGUGUAGAGGUGAAAUUCGUAGAUAUCAGGAGGAACACCGGUGGCGAAGGCGGCUUCCUGGACGACAACUGACGCUGAGACGCGAAAGUGUGGGUAGCAAACAGG